rnacentral:rRNA from 1 species
GGUCAAGUGAAGAAGCGCAUACGGUGGAUGCCUUGGCAGUCAGAGGCGAUGAAAGACGUGGUAGCCUGCGAAAAGCUUCGGGGAGUCGGCAAACAGACUGUGAUCCGGAGAUGUCUGAAUGGGGGAACCCAGCCAUCAUAAGAUGGUUAUCUUACACUGAAUACAUAGGUGUAAGAGGCGAACCAGGGGAACUGAAACAUCUAAGUACCCUGAGGAAAAGAAAUCAACCGAGAUUCCCUUAGUAGUGGCGAGCGAACGGGGACCAGCCCUUAAGUUGUAUUGAGAUUAGCGGAACGCUCUGGAAAGUGCGGCCAUAGUGGGUGAUAGCCCUGUACGCGAAAAUCCCUUUGCAAUGAAAUCGAGUAGGACGGGGCACGAGAAACCUUGUCUGAAUAUGGGGGGACCAUCCUCCAAGGCUAAAUACUACUGACUGACCGAUAGUGAACCAGUACCGUGAGGGAAAGGCGAAAAGAACCGCGGAGAGCGGAGUGAAAUAGAUCCUGAAACCGUAUGCGUACAAGCAGUGGGAGCCCACGUUGUUGGGUGACUGCGUACCUUUUGUAUAAUGGGUCAGCGACUUAUUUUCAGUGGCGAGCUUAACCGAAUAGGGGAGGCGUAGCGAAAGCGAGUCUUAAUAGGGCGUCUAGUCGCUGGGAAUAGACCCGAAACCGGGCGAUCUAUCCAUGGGCAGGUUGAAGGUUGGGUAACACUAACUGGAGGACCGAACCGACUACCGUUGAAAAGUUAGCGGAUGACCUGUGGAUCGGAGUGAAAGGCUAAUCAAGCUCGGAGAUAGCUGGUUCUCCUCGAAAGCUAUUUAGGUAGCGCCUCAUGUAUCACUGUAGGGGGUAGAGCACUGUUUCGGCUAGGGGGUCAUCCCGACUUACCAAACCGAUGCAAACUCCGAAUACCUACAAGUGCCGAGCAUGGGAGACACACGGCGGGUGCUAACGUCCGUCGUGAAAAGGGAAACAACCCAGACCGUCAGCUAAGGUCCCAAAGUCAUGGUUAAGUGGGAAACGAUGUGGGAAGGCUUAGACAGCUAGGAGGUUGGCUUAGAAGCAGCCACCCUUUAAAGAAAGCGUAAUAGCUCACUAGUCGAGUCGGCCUGCGCGGAAGAUGUAACGGGGCUCAAACCAUGCACCGAAGCUACGGGUAUCACCUUUGGUGAUGCGGUAGAGGAGCGUUCUGUAAGCCUGUGAAGGUGAGUUGAGAAGCUUGCUGGAGGUAUCAGAAGUGCGAAUGCUGACAUGAGUAACGACAAUGGGUGUGAAAAACACCCACGCCGAAAGACCAAGGUUUCCUGCGCAACGUUAAUCGACGCAGGGUUAGUCGGUCCCUAAGGCGAGGCUGAAAAGCGUAGUCGAUGGAAAACAGGUUAAUAUUCCUGUACUUCUGGUUAUUGCGAUGGAGGGACGGAGAAGGCUAGGCCAGCCUGGCGUUGGUAGUCCAGGUUUAAGGUGGUAGGCUGAGAUCUUAGGUAAAUCCGGGAUCUUAAGGCCGAGAGCUGAUGACGAGUGUUCUUUUAGAACAUGAAGUGGUUGAUGCCAUGCUUCCAAGAAAAGCUUCUAAGCUUCAGGUAACCAGGAACCGUACCCCAAACCGACACAGGUGGUUGGGUAGAGAAUACCAAGGCGCUUGAGAGAACUCGGGUGAAGGAACUAGGCAAAAUGGCACCGUAACUUCGGGAGAAGGUGCGCCGGUGAGGGUGAAGCAUUUACUGCGUAAGCCCACGCCGGUCGAAGAUACCAGGCCGCUGCGACUGUUUAUUAAAAACACAGCACUCUGCAAACACGAAAGUGGACGUAUAGGGUGUGACGCCUGCCCGGUGCCGGAAGGUUAAUUGAUGGGGUUAGCGCAAGCGAAGCUCUUGAUCGAAGCCCCGGUAAACGGCGGCCGUAACUAUAACGGUCCUAAGGUAGCGAAAUUCCUUGUCGGGUAAGUUCCGACCUGCACGAAUGGCGUAACGAUGGCGGCGCUGUCUCCACCCGAGACUCAGUGAAAUUGAAAUCGCUGUGAAGAUGCAGUGUAUCCGCGGCUAGACGGAAAGACCCCGUGAACCUUUACUAUAGCUUUGCACUGGACUUUGAAUUUGCUUGUGUAGGAUAGGUGGGAGGCUUUGAAGCGUGGACGCCAGUCUGCGUGGAGCCAACCUUGAAAUACCACCCUGGCAACUUUGAGGUUCUAACUCAGGUCCGUUAUCCGGAUCGAGGACAGUGUAUGGUGGGUAGUUUGACUGGGGCGGUCUCCUCCUAAAGAGUAACGGAGGAGUACGAAGGUGCGCUCAGACCGGUCGGAAAUCGGUCGUAGAGUAUAAAGGCAAAAGCGCGCUUGACUGCGAGACAGACACGUCGAGCAGGUACGAAAGUAGGUCUUAGUGAUCCGGUGGUUCUGUAUGGAAGGGCCAUCGCUCAACGGAUAAAAGGUACUCCGGGGAUAACAGGCUGAUACCGCCCAAGAGUUCAUAUCGACGGCGGUGUUUGGCACCUCGAUGUCGGCUCAUCACAUCCUGGGGCUGAAGCCGGUCCCAAGGGUAUGGCUGUUCGCCAUUUAAAGUGGUACGCGAGCUGGGUUUAGAACGUCGUGAGACAGUUCGGUCCCUAUCUGCCGUGGACGUUUGAGAUUUGAGAGGGGCUGCUCCUAGUACGAGAGGACCGGAGUGGACGAACCUCUGGUGUUCCGGUUGUCACGCCAGUGGCAUUGCCGGGUAGCUAUGUUCGGAAAAGAUAACCGCUGAAAGCAUCUAAGCGGGAAACUUGCCUCAAGAUGAGAUCUCACUGGAACCUUGAGUUCCCUGAAGGGCCGUCGAAGACUACGACGUUGAUAGGUUGGGUGUGUAAGCGCUGUGAGGCGUUGAGCUAACCAAUACUAAUUGCCCGUGAGGCUUGACCAU